rnacentral:lncRNA from 1 species
ACAGCUGAGCCAAGGAGUGUGGAGGCUGCUCCAGGUCCUAGAACACGGUGCCUGGGUUCAUUUCGCAGAUUUGGUCCUAAGCUUGUCAAGUCCCCUACCAGCUCCUGUGACAGAAAGACUAGACAAGAUGGCGGAGGUCACACGAGUGCUGGGAAAUGAAGAAGGGCUUCAAGCUGCUCCUCCGAUUUUAAAGCCAAGCAAUGUGCCUAGCACUGUGCUGCUGUGUAAGUAGGUGAAGGGAAGAAACAACGCAGUUCACAUCCUAUAAACCCUGGUCUAAA